rnacentral:lncRNA from 1 species
UGUCCUGAAUAAAAUGGAUGACAUUUUUUGAAGAGGAGGAGAAAUGGGAAACAGAGAGGAAGUUCAAGAAGCCAUUCUCUCUCUAUCAGAAAAAUGAGAAAAUGGAAAGAUGAAGAAGCUAAUAAUUUAUUCAAGAUCAAACUGCCAAGAAGUGACCAAACUACCUUGGAUUCAGAUCCAAAUCGGCUGGACUUCCCCACUUACGCUUAUGACCGCUGAGCCACGCCACCUUCCCAAGUUCAUCCAGUGCUCUCUCAACUCUGUCAAACUGGCUUCCCUGAAAUAAUUUGUAUUUCUUAUCCACAGUGGGAUAAAUUAGAGAAACCAUAGCCAGGUGUGUAAGUGGAAAGAUUGACUAAUAGACAUCUGAUAGAGCAAACAGCCUAAGUCUGCAAUAUCUCUCUCAGGUCUGUCUUUAUUCAAGUGUAUGAGAUGGUGGUAAUCAUCAAUGUUCCCCAGUAUCAGUACCUAAUAUUUAAAAGGGUUAUCACGUUGGGCCAUACGUUUGGGCUUGAUGAUUCACAGGAGGUGAAGAGAACUUCAACUCUCAAUUGCAAUCCCAAUGCAUUUGUCAUGAUGCUGAGUUACACAGAACUAGGGCACAUGUAAAAUAAAUACCUCUUUUUGUUCCAAGCCUUGUGAGCAUUUUUCUUGAUGCAUUUGGAUUUCUCCAGUAAGAAAAUGACAAUGUAAAGCCAUUCUUUACAUUCAAUGUUGUGAGUUUGAACAAAGGGCUGUGAG